UAUAGAGAGUCAUAGGAGUUAUGGAGCUGGCUUGAAACCAGUUUUGGGAGGUUCCAUUCCUUCCUUUAUUG
rfam:Cavia porcellus supercont2_138 genomic scaffold, whole genome shotgun sequence.